AUUGAACGCUGGCGGCAGGCUUAACACAUGCAAGUCGAGCGAGCGGCGGACGGGUGAGUAAUGUCUGGUAACCUCCCUGAUGGAGGGGGAUAACUACUGGAAACGGUAUCUAAUACCGCAUACCAUCCUCUGUGCCCAGAUGGGAUUCGCUCGUAUGUGGGUUAAUGGCUCACCUAGGCGACGAUCCCUAGCUGGUCUGAGAGGAUGACCAGCAACACUGGAACUGGGACACGGGCCAGACUCCUAAGGGAGGCAGCAGGGGGGAAUAUUGCACAAGGGGCGCAAGCCUGAUGCAGCCAUGCCGCGUGGGUGAAGAAGGCCUUCGGGUUGUAAAGCACUUUCAGCGAGGAGGCGUUACUCGCAGAAGAAGCACCGGCUAACUCCGUGCCAGCAGCCGCGGUAAUAC
rnacentral:rRNA from 1 species